UGCAUUCUGGGAUUCUUCCCCUCAAGCAACUGGACUCCCUUAGAUUUUGUCUCCGGGUCUUUGUCGAACUAAGUUGCCAAAAACAAUGACUUUCCUCUGGUAAUCCACGAUGUCCCUUUCUCCUGCCGCCUGAUGGCACUGUGGGGCUGAAAACAAAUCCAACCUUCUCUAGCUAGUCAGUCUCCCGAGUUCAGGUGCCUUCCUGUGAGGAGUUUCCAUGCAGACAUCACCGUCUACGGAAGCCCUUUGCUUUUCAUGUUGGCAUUUCAACCAAACUAAAUUUCAAAGAGACAAGAGUGGAAGAAGGAGCAGCAUCCAGGGUAGGCGAUGGAAAGUGCGGCCAUGUUUUUUCCAUACAGUAACUUCUGAGUUUUCUCUUAUGCACCAAUGUUUUGCAAGAGAGCACCCUUCACUUAAAGGAGACUUUGAGUUCCACUUGUCUACAAGAUGUAUCUUUAUGUGGAAUUUGUUAUAUGUGUCAAUAGAAGGAAUCCACACACAGAAUGUAAUCUUUAUUUAAAUCUUUACUUAAAAUGUCUUUAAUUCUGCAAUUCCUCAAUUGAGGCUGCCAAGUGACAGCCCUGUUUAAUAGCCAGCAUCGGUGGUAGCAGGUCCAGAGAGUCCCCACGGCAAUCUUUAUUUAAAAUGUUUCUUGUUUUCAAUAUUUUUUAUAUUUUAAAACUAUAUAAAUUGUUAAGGAUUGUGCAAGAUACAUAAGCUGGACUAUUAGGAAACUUGAGUAUGAGGUAAAUAUACUUAUUACCUGAUAUCUAGGUGUUACGGAUAAAAAAAACUGAUGGUCAACUUUAACACCAGCAGAAUUGAAUCACCAUGCUGCUGAGCAUAGAUGUUCACCUGAGGAAGGUUGCCAGCAUAGAGAUGUGGAGAAGGAGAAGUUAUUGCAUUGAAGUGCGUUGAGGAAUUGUGGGUUCUCCUACGUGUUGCUGUUUGAGCUGUUGGUUGUCCUGGAGAAGCUCUGGUCCUCACAUUAAGCAUUGUCUCCGGGCUCCAGAGGGGAAGGCGUGUGCCGCUUGGUCCCCAGGAUGAACUCAUCACGCUGGCUUCCUGGCAUGUACUUGACUGUGCUUAUCUUGGGAGGAAUUCAGGGCUUCCAUGUCGCUGAGGAUGGCUGUGGUGCUUUUCAGGACAGCCCUGGUCUUUGUUGUGAGUGUGACUUCUCAGCUCCAGUGCAGAGCCCUCAACCUUCUAGCACAGCUCCUUUACCCUGCUGGCAUGGACUUUCUGGCUUCCACCGCUGACCUUUGGGCCUUCCCAGCAGGGAUCCAUGAAAGAGAGUGGCAUGAGUCCUUGUGGGCUCUGGACCUUCAGUUGGACUCAUGGGAGGCAUUGUCAUGAGCUCUGGGUCUUCGUCUGGACUCAUGUGGGACAUUGCUGUGGGAUUCAGGCCUUUGGCUGAAUAUUCUAUAUCUUUAGUGUUGUGGAUAGAUUUCCUGCAUUUUCUUGUGUUAACUCUGGGUGAGCAUCAUAAAAAUAGUAUUAUAAAGUCCA